UGUAUGGUCAAUUCAUGUCAGAUCAUCUAUAAAGCAGCUGCGGAAAUGGCUGCUAUAGAUCCUUCACAGUGUGUUGCCAUUGGAGAUUCUCUGCACCAUGACAUAAAAGGUGCAAAUGCCACUGGUAUCUCAUCAGAAUUUAUCACUGGUGGGAUCCAUGCGACUGAACUUGGACUUGAUACCUUCGGAGAAAUUGCUGAUGAUUCUUCUGUGGUUGCUCUUGCCUUAAGACAUGAUGCUUAUCCAUCAUAUGUGUUGCCUUCAUUCAAUUGGUAGUCUGAUGGUUUGAGAAUAGAGGUUCUACUGAUGCCAUUGCUAAUGUUCCAUUUUCUAUAGCACCCUUUGUAGCUACGGCGCCAGCUUUUAAGUUACUGUUCAAGGAGCCAUCAUCGUGCUUUUCAUCUUUGUUUUGUUGUGAUCAGUUGUCUCAACUACAGCAAUGUAUGAGAAAGCUGCUUAUUUCUUGGUAGCUAAUGGGUUCUAGGUUACAAGCAAUGGGUGGUAAUAUAGUUUUAAUUUAAUGACUGUAUGUUCUGGGUGACAGGGUGAUCAGCUCAUUAGCAGACUUGUCUUUACUAAAAAGUUCAGAAAUACAAAUUGCUCAAUUUUAGAAUGCUACUUGCAGACAAGGAAAUAAUGAUGCAAACAAGAGAUUUUUUGGUGCA